rnacentral:tRNA from 1 species
GCCCAGGUGGCGGAACUGGCAGACGCGUACGUUUGAGGGGCGUAUGGGUUUCCCGUACCGGUUCGAGUCCGGUCCUGGGCACCA